GACGAACGCUGGCGGCGUGCUUAACACAUGCAAGUCGAACGGAAAGGCCCUGCUUUUGUGGGGUGCUCGAGUGGCGAACGGGUGAGUAACACGUGAGUAACCUGCCCUUGACUUUGGGAUAACUUCAGGAAACUGGGGCUAUUAUCGGAUAUGAGCUCCUGCUGCAUGGUGGGUGUUGGAAAGUUUCGGCGGUUGGGGAUGGACUCGCGGUUUAUCAGCUUGUUGGUGGGGUAGUGGCUUACCAAGGCUUUGACGGGUAGCCGGCCUGAGAGGGUGACCGGCCACAUUGGGACUGAGAUACGGCCCAGACUGCUACGGGAGGCAGCAGUGGGAAAUAUUGCACAAUGGGCGGAAGCCGGAUGCAGCAACGCCGCGUGCGGGAUGACGGCCGUCGGGUUGUAAACCGCUUUAGCCUGUGACGAAGAGUGAGUGACGGUAAUGAGUAAAGAAGCACCGGCUAACUACGUG
rnacentral:rRNA from 1 species